UCGGGAAUUUUGCACAAUGGCCGAAAGGCUGAUGCAGCAACGCCGCGUGAGCGAAGAAGGCCUUCGGGUUGUAAAGCUCUGUUGCCUGCGAAGAAGGGCCCUGUCAGGAAAUGGGCGGGGUUUGACGGUAGCAGGCGAGGAAGCCCCGGCAAACUACGUGCCAGCAGCCGCGGUAAUACGUAGGGGGCGAGCGUUGUCCGGAAUUACUGGGCGUAAAGGGCGUGUAGGCGGCCUGUUAAGUCAGGGGUGAAAGACCGGGGCUCAACCCCGGGGGUGCCUCUUAAACUGGCGGGCUUGAGUGCUGUAGAGGGCAGUGGAAUUCCCGGUGUAGCAUUGAAAUGCGUAGAGAUCGGGAGGAACACCAGUGGCGAAGGCGGCUGCCUGGGGAGUCACUGACGCUGAGGCGCGAAAGCGUGGGGAGCAAACAGG
rnacentral:rRNA from 1 species